rnacentral:rRNA from 1 species
CCUACGGGAGGCAGCAGUGGGGAAUAUUGGACAAUGGGCGCAAGCCUGAUCCAGCAAUGCCGCGUGUGUGAAGAAGGCCUUCGGGUUGUAAAGCACUUUCAUCAGGAACGAAAUACCACGGGUUAAUACCCUAUGGGGCUGACGGUACCUGAGGAAUAAGCACCGGCUAACUUCGUGCCAGCAGCCGCGGUAAUACGAAGGGUGCAAGCGUUAAUCGGAAUUACUGGGCGUAAAGCGUGCGUAGGCGGUUUGUUAAGUCUGCUGUGAAAGCCCUGGGCUCAACCUGGGAAUGGCAGUGGAAACUGGCGAGCUAGAGAGUGAUAGAGGAUGGUGGAAUUCCCGGUGUAGCGGUGAAAUGCGUAGAGAUCGGGAGGAACAUCAGUGGCGAAGGCGGCCAUCUGGAUCGACACUGACGCUGAGGCACGAAAGCGUGGGGAGCAAACAGGAUUAGAUACCCCCGUAGUC